CUGUUGGUCACUGUUACCAUUACACACUUUUCAUAAUUUUGUCUACAGUUUUUCUCAGAGAAAUUGAGCAGACAGAACACUGACCUGUCCAUGUGCUAUAAUUAUGUGUCUUUGGAUGGAUUCUUUGUAUGAUGAAAAAUCUACUCUUUGAGAAAUACCAAGGUGAACCAAGAAAGACGGUGUAAAGAGAAAAGGACUGAAGCCCAUUGCCAUUACAAAUAAUCAAAAAAAAAGGAAUAUUGGCAGGAUUCAACCUCUACUGCCAUGUCACCAACCGCCUCUGACGUGUGGGCCAACAUCAUAAAAUAGGAGGUAUUACUUUUGGAGCAGCCCUUGUCUGUGACCACAGGCAGCUACUAGUUGUGAAGUGAUCCACCUCAGCUUUUUGUUGAAGGAAUAGAGAAUCACAGAAUGACUGAGGUUGGCAGAGGCUGCUGGUUCUAUCCUCCUGGUGAAGCAGGAACAUCAAAAACAGGGUAUGCCAAAAGACAUUGAGUCCCAGGAACAGGUCCAGAAAGGGCAACGAAACUGGUGAGAGGUCUGGAGCACAAGUCUUAUGAAGAGCAGCUGAGGGAGCUGGGAUUGUUUAGUCUGGAGAAGAGGAGGCUCAGGGAAGACCACAUUGCACUCUACAACUUCUUGAGGGGAUGUUGUGAUGAGGAGGGGUUUGGCCUCUUCUCCCAGGCAACAAACAGAGCCCAAGGAAAUGGCCACAAGUUGUACCAGAGGAGAUUUCAAUUAGACAUAAGGUAAAACUUUUUCUCUCAGAGAGUGGUCAGGCACUGGAAUAGCCUGCUCAGGGAUGUGGUGGAGUCACCGUCCCUGGCAGUGCUCAAGAGGUGUCUGGAUGAGGAGCUACGAGAUACGGGUUAGUGGCUUGUGGUAGCAAGGGUAAAGGGAGG
ensembl:lncRNA